CGAACCACGUAAAAAGAUCUGUCUCCCUUUACAUUUCUGUGUUUUAUUUUCUUUUAUGUGUGUUAAUGUAUGUUUUGAUGGUUAAGAUCAUCAUGGGUGUAGACAUCAAAAAAGAUGCAACUAUAUUUUGGCGCUAGAAACCCGUGAAAGAACAUUAAUACUUCACUACCAGCAAGUUCUGUAUCAGAUUUAGUUGAGAUCCAGGCGAUCCACGAAGCUCCAAGGGUAUCUCUGUCAAAAGAAGAGAUGAAUCUCGGACAACAAAUGUGUGGCUCGUCCAAACGAAGCUUAGACAAAAGAAAGAAAAGCGACGAAAUCUCUACAGCAGAUUUCUCACCAACAUCAACUGGGAAUUAAAAAUUUUUCUCCUCUCUCUUCAUCUUCUUCUUAAUAUUUCAGAUCUACAAGAUUUAAACAAAAAAUGUCAGACAAAUCUACUACAAAAACUAGGGCUUGUUCUUUAAUACAAGUCUGAUUUUGGUUCCAAAUCUUUACUAAAAAAAAAUGGUGAUGGGCGAAGUCGCAUCGAAGCAGCAACAGCAAAGAACCACUCGGAGAAGAAAGCUUCAAAGCUGCGUAGGGCUGGCCAAUUGAAGUCAGUCACCAAUUCUCAUCGUCCUGCCUCUCAGGAGCUACAUCGGAGAAGCUAUUGAAACUAAAUUGAUGAUGUGCGAGAUUGCAUCGGAGCAGUAACAACAGCUGCUAACCUGCUAUCCAUCAACAUCUUUGCCUGAAUUGGGAGAAACAACGGUGGAAGAAUUCACAUCGGAGUGAUUCAACAACCUCGCGUUCACCUCGAGACCAACUCGUGUAGAACCAUCAGAAUCAAUCGGGCAGACUAUUUCGCACAGCUCAACUAGGAGCAGUCAUCUUGUACAUCUCAAUCCCGAGCAUCCAUCUCGGACAGAAAAGCAACAGACCGAUGCUGAAACAAAAUCCAGCAUGAUGGGUUCAACCAGAGCAUGAACUCGGGGCUUAUUUUUUCUAUCUCUCUUCGUACUCUCUUACAUUGCAAUAGCCAAACAAGUAUAUUCACAUGACUACUCACUUGAUUGAGUUGCUGUUGUAGAAAAACGAUGGUGGAGGAUAUCACAUUGGAAUCACCAGCUCGUGUUCCACUCGAGACCAACUCGUGGAGAUACCACCGAUACAAUCAGACAGCCCAAAUGGGAGAACGAUGGAGUCCAACCCAUAGUGUACCAGAGGCAACACGAUUAAGGUCGUGAAGAAGCAAUCAGAAGAAGCCAGAGCUCGGACAGCUCAAAUUGCAACAAUCAUCUCGUACUGGAAAAGUAACCAACACGAAGGGAGCCAGUCAGAGCAUGAUCUCGGACUCACCAGCCAUCUCGGACUCAUCAGUUCAUCUCCGAUCACCAAUCUCGGAUAGGCAAUCAACAGGGCAACCAGAGCAUGCACUCGAAUUGCACCUGGACACCAUACCAGGAGCACGAACUCGGACUCUCCAUCUCCGAGCAGCAACUUGGACAACAUACCUUUUUUACCUUAUCUAAUAAUUAGUCUUUUGGUUUACAAUAGCUAAAUGACUGAUUCCUAUAUACUUAAAUAAUUGUUCUUUGAAUCAAAAGAAUUUUGAUAAAUUCCACGAACAGCAGGUGAACGAUAAUAUACUCCACAAAGGCAUUCUUCAAUGGAAUCUAUCUUAGAUGGUUCAUCCAUGCUCGCCAGGCUUAUCCCGGAGCAACCAUCUCGUACUGGCAAAGCAAUCGUCACAAUGGAGUUCAACCCAUAUCGUACCAGAGGCGAUGUCGGGCUCAUCAGUGCAUCUCCAAGCAUUAUUAGGUACAUACUAAUAUGUUCAGAAGGACUCAUAUCAGAGCAGCAACUCGUGCUUGUGAAUAUGCUCUACGGAAAAUGCUCUAGAGCGCUCAUUUCAGGUCGCUUAUUGUGAUGCAUCCUUGCUCGCGAAGCUCACUGCGACUCGAGAUCAUCUCGAGAGCAACAACCUAAAACAGGAGAAAUUCUUAUCUCUAUCUAUAAAAUUUAUUAUGCCUAUCAAGUCUGAAUACAUAUCUUUCAUCAAAAGCUCACCAAGCUACAAUAAAUGUCAUUAUUAAUGACAUCAUAACUUGUCUAUAGCUUUUUUUAAAAUGGUAAUUAACCUUUAAUUGAAGUACACAGGGGCAAAAUGCAACCUCAUGACAAAGGCUACAAAGUUAAAGGACGAUACGAUCUCCUACCUUUCUUGCCAGUCUAAGGACAAAAAGGGCACUUUCUAACUCAUAUAUUGAAUAUACAUAUGCCUAACCAAGGCACAAUUUUGCUCAAGAGCAAGCUAAGAAAAUAGCUAGUCGCACAGACUCAAGUCGAUAUACGUAUCGUACUGGUACAUCCAGAAUUAGGUGGCGCAAUCUAGCAUGCCUGCUCCACAACGAGCUUUAUAAUAAAUGAUAAUGCGACAUCAUAUCGCAUAAAAAUGAGCAGAAAAUGUUUACAUAAAGUAAAUGCUUUAGAAUUAUCGAAUGCUUUUAACAUUAUGAUGUAUUAACAUUUCAUGUUUUGCAGCAAGUCUUCAUUAUGGUUGGAGAAUUCAGUUAAGUCGGAUCGAUUAUCCGUAUAUAGUAAAGUCGGAUUAGACAUAAUCCGCAUAAAGGCAUGCUUAUCGUGCAUUAGGAACUAGCAUUAUGCUAGAUAAGAAUAGAGUCGGAUUAGUUGAAAUCUGCAUAAAGGCAUGCUUAUCAUGCACUAAGGUUAGAGUCGGAUUAGUUGUAAUCCGCAGUAAAGUUAUUAUUGUGUUUCUGUCUUCUUGUAGGUACACUUGAUGUAUGUAUGGUACAUCUGCUAGUUAUAUAUAUGUGUUUUCCUGCAGGGUUAAAUGGUGUAUCAUACAUACAUCCUCCUCUUGUUCUAUAUGUAUGUGUUUGCUUGCAGGGACAUUCGAUGAAUGUUGAAUGAAUGUGAUAUAAAUAUCUUCCUCUUGUCAUAUCUGUGUUUUCCUGCAGGGUAACUUAGUGUUCUUAAUAUGAAAUUUGUCCAUCACCGAUGAUAAUUGGAGCAUGAUCCCCAUCCGAGAAAACAUCUUCUCGAGAUGGUAAUUGGGGAACGAUCCCCAUCCAAGAAAACAUCUUCUCGAGACCAUUACGAAUGGUAUCUGGGUAAACCAAACCCUCGCGCGAGAAAAUAUCUUCUCAAAACCAUCACGAUGGUAAUCGGGCCAAGAACCCCAUACGAGAAAACCUAUUCUCGAUGCCAUAUAAUUUAUGUUCAUGUGAUUGUAUUAUUUAUUAUUUUGAUCUGUUGAAUGCAUGAAUUAUAUAUGUUGUUUGCAGGUUCGCUCACUUAGUAUUGAUCCAUCACGAAUGGUAAUCAGGAUACUAGUCCUAUGCGAGGAAACAUCUCCUCACGACCAUCACGAAUGGUAAGGUGCUAGCCACACCAUUCCAUCCUCAAACAGGAUGAUGCGAGCAAUGCUCAAGCUACCCGAGAUGGACACACUGACCUAGGGUAAUGCCACCUGUACUUCAGGAGAUAACCUAUAGUUGACUCACUUUAGGCAGAAGUGCGAAUCAACUACCAGAGGUGCAAGCUACAGGAAGUGCCAUCAUAAAUGAUAUAUUCAGAAAGUGGAGUUAGGGGCCAACCUUGACUUUGGCUUUCAAAAGCUAUAAGCUCUUAAGCUUCCAAAAACCAAAGGGGGCAGUAUAUACCCUCGAUACUUUCAUAUUGAGGCAAACAGUAAGUCCUCGGGGAAAGGCUUCGGAUUACGAUCCGAAGGCAUUUUGAGUCCCCACAGAUACAAGCCUCCAAUUGGAGCACGAAGUAAGACCUCAGACUCCACUCCGAAGGCAUUCAACAAGAUCUUACGUCCACACGAUUUGAGGCAAAUAGUAAGUCCUCCGGGCAAGGCUUCGAACUGUCAUCCGAAGAUAUUUUGAGUCCGCAAAGAUAUGAGCAUCCGAUAUAUCUCGGAACCAACACAAGUCCUCGGACCACCAUCCGAAGGCAUCUGAUAAAUCUUAUAGCAGCACGAUUUGAGGCAUUUAGUAAACCCUCGGAGCAUGACCUCGGACUGCAAUCUCAAAGUCAUUUGGCAAGACCCCACAACGAUGUGUCACACGCAUAAGACUUUUUACACCAGUAAAAAGCUACAGGAUUCAAAGCUUAUCUAUCCUCAGCUUAUUUCAAUUUAUUUCAUUUCAUGGAGUUUAUUUUGGAUUUUUUCAAAAACUUAUCCUCUCAAACGAUAACAGGAGCAUAUAUAUUGGAAUAAGGAAAAACCCUCAUCGCUCGGAGCAAGAAGCAAGCUAAAGAUGCAAAGGCAAUUAGCCAAUUGCGAAGAAAUCUAAGUAUCACCUUUAUUAAGGAGCUAUCUCACUGUGCAUUCCACUAAUUCUUCUAGCAAUAUGCUUAAUAGCUUAAUAUAUAGCUUAAAUAGAUUACAUAUGCAUGAAAAUCAUUCAUACCAUAAGCAUGCUUAAUGAUAUAAAAUAUCUUAUUUGUCUAUGCCAAUGCAAGACUUUAAACUGUUCUUACCUCUUACAACUGUAGUACUUGACUACUAUAAUGUUUAUGCUUGUGAAGCAAAGUAAAUCUUGAACUUAUAUUUCUGCAAUAUAGCAAUUACUACUCUCGCUUGAGCAGCAGGUACCCAUGAUAGUCCCGAGAAGCACUACACGACAAGUCGUCAAGAACUGAUGCUAACCAAGCCAAAUGGAGUUGGAGCACGAACCGCCAAGGAGCAACCACAACGAUCACGAACACAAAGACUGCCUCAGAACUUCACACAAGAACAUGGGCAAGUAUUAAUACUUUAAAAGCUGGUUAUGUUCUUCUGCGAAGUUCCUUCAGCAACAAAGAUCCAUGAAGCUCGGUACCACACACCACCAACUGAAGUCAUCAACCAACUCCAGCAAAGAAUCAAAGACCAAGAAUUGAGAGCGACCUCGCACUGUUACUCGGAACCGCAACUCGCACAUCCACAUCAUGUAGCACAUAUCAUGGAUCGUGAAGCACAAGCAUAACAACAACCAACUCGGACGACCCCAACCAAACACUCUAUAGAAGUGAAGCCAAACUACAAGCCAGAUCGGAACCAAACAUGUUCAGAUAUCUCGCUCAGCCACUUCUCUCGCCUUCAAAGCCAUACUGAUGUUGAUUCUCUUAAGGAUUAUUGUUCCAACAACCCUCAACCAAAGGAGCAAAAUGUGAGGGCAAAUUAUCAACUCGCUACGUGGCGCAAGAUCAAGAGCCGAAGUAUCCUACUAUAAUACAACCUACUACACAAUGUAUACCCAACCACUUAGUCUUAUCCUAUCUAGUCAGCCCUAAGGGCGUAUUUGUAAUUGAUGUAACCACCUACCCUAUAAAA